CUGGCACCAGGCUGAGCAGCUCACACACCUAGGCCUCUCUCCCGAGGACUUCGUAGGCUCCGCCAGCCUCCCGGUCUCAGCCUCCUGCAGUCCAGUGUGUGUGUGGCGCAGUGACACUCGGUUACAGCUGCGAGCUGAGAGGAUGGGAAUCCUCGGCCUUCACUGGACAGCCAGCCUAGCCUACACAGACCAAUAAGAGACCCUGUCUCACAAAACAAGGCGGAACAGAACCGGAGGAGUGACAGGUUUUACAGAUGAGAUGGUUGCUGCCAAGUAUGAAGAUGGAGU
rnacentral:lncRNA from 1 species